rnacentral:rRNA from 1 species
GUGCCAGCCGCCGCGGUAAUACGAAGGUGGCAAGCGUUGUUCGGAUUUACUGGGCGUACAGGGAGCGUAGGCGGUUGGAUAAGCCCUCCGUGAAAUCUCCAGGCUUAACCUGGAAAGUGCAGAGGGGACUGUUCAGCUAGAGGAUGGGAGAGGAGCGCGGAAUUCCCGGUGUAGCGGUGAAAUGCGUAGAGAUCGGGAGGAAGGCCGGUGGCGAAGGCGGCGCUCUGGAACAUUUCUGACGCUGAGGCUCGAAAGCGUGGGGAGCAAACAGGAUUAGAUACCCCCGUAGUCC